rnacentral:rRNA from 1 species
GACAGAGGGGGCAGCGUUGCUCGGAAUUAGUCGUGGGCGUAAAGGGCGCGUAGGCGGGAUGGUAAUGUCGGUCGUGAAAUCCCUCGGCUCAACCGAGGAACGUCGAUCGUAUACUACCGUUCUUGAGGAUUGCAGAGGAGACUGGAAUUCCCGGAUGUAGCGGUGAAAUGAUGUAGAGAUCGGGAGGAACACCGGUGGCGAAGGCGGGUCUACUGGGC